GGAACGGGGGAUCCGCGCUGCAGGCGCCGCCGCACGACCCGAGCCCCGGAGCUGGCCGGGUCACGCUAGCGCUCGUGCUCGCCGUCUCGGCGUUCGCCGUUGCUGAGCAACGUCCGUGACGUCACAGGACGGAACGGUCUCGCAGCUCCAGCCCAGUGAGGUUCAGCAACCAGGCAGAGUUGGCCAGGGUAAGACUUGGAGCCCACAUCUGACUCCACUUCCCUCAGGGGUCAGAGACUGAGACCGACAAGGACUUCACUGCCCCCUAUCCACAGCCCUAAGAGUCCAUAUUUUAAGACAGAAAAACUGGACCAGCAAGAUGGCUCACAUAAUGAAAGGCUCUUGCAGCCAUGCCCAUGUUGUCCCCGGGACCCACACUGUGGAAGGACUCUUGCAAGCCGGUCCACACACAUAAAUAAAUACAUUUGAAAAAAAUUUAAAAAAAAAAAGACAAAAACCGGUUUGGAGAGAUGACUCAGCGGUUAAGAGCACUAACUGCCCUCUACCACUGGUUCUAAGUUCAAGUCCCAGCAACCACGUGGUGGCUCACAACCAUCUGUAAAGGGAUCCAAUGCCUCCUCCUGCUGUGUCAGACACACCAGCUACAGUGUACUCAUAAAAUAAAUAAAUAAAUAAAUAAAUAAAUAAAUAAAUAAA